rnacentral:sRNA from 1 species
UAUUUUUUUAAUCAAAUAAUCAAAUUAUAAUAUAAUAGUAAUAUUUUUUUUUUUGGAGAAACUUUGUGAAUUUCUCAUGGAUGGAGAUGCUCUAACGGUGUAGAUUUGAGUAGAGCGAAAAUAGAAUGAAGAUACAAAACUGUUCUCCAAUCAUUAUAAAUGCUCGAAAUGAGUUUCUAUUUGGAGAAAGAAUUGUAUUUAUUUGUAAAUGAAACCAACUCAUAUAAUUCUGUCAAAAAGUUUCAGAAAACAAAAAUGGAGAACAUUUUGGACCGUCAUGUCUUUUUGGGAUU